rnacentral:rRNA from 1 species
CAAGUCGACGGUAAGGCCCUUCGGGGUACACGAGUGGCGAACGGGUGAGUAACACGUGGGUGAUCUGCCCUGCACUUCGGGAUAAGCCUGGGAAACUGGGUCUAAUACCGGAUAGGACCUCGGGAUGCAUGUCCUGUGGUGGAAAGCUUUUGCGGUGUGGGAUGGGCCCGCGGCCUAUCAGCUUGUUGGUGGGGUGAUGGCCUACCAAGGCGACGACGGGUAGCCGGCCUGAGAGGGUGACCGGCCACACUGGGACUGAGAUACGGCCCAGACUCCUACGGGAGGCAGCAGUGGGGAAUAUUGCACAAUGGGCGCAAGCCUGAUGCAGCGACGCCGCGUGAGGGAUGACGGCCUUCGGGUUGUAAACCUCUUUCAGCACCGACGAAGCGCAAGUGACGGUAGGUGCAGAAGAAGGACCGGCCAACUACGUGCCAGCAGCCGCGGUAAUACGUAGGGUCCGAGCGUUGUCCGGAAUUACUGGGCGUAAAGAGCUCGUAGGUGGUUUGUCGCGUUGUCCGUGAAAUCCCACGGCUUAACUGUGGGCGUGCGGGCGAUACGGGCAGACUGGAGUACUGCAGGGGAGACUGGAAUUCCUGGUGUAGCGGUGGAAUGCGCAGAUAUCAGGAGGAACACCGGUGGCGAAGGCGGGUCUCUGGGCAGUAACUGACGCUGAGGAGCGAAAGCGUGGGGGGCGAACAGGAUUAGAUACCCUGGUAGUCCACGCCGUAAACGGUGGGUACUAGGUGUGGGUUUCCUUCCUUGGGAUCCGUGCCGUAGCUAACGCAUUAAGUACCCCGCCUGGGGAGUACGGCCGCAAGGCUAAAACUCAAAGGAAUUGACGG